GGAGAGAUGGCUCAGUGGUUAAGAGCACUGACUGCUCUUCAGAGGUCCUGAGUUCAAUUCCCAGCAACCACA
rnacentral:tRNA from 1 species